AAUGAACGCUGGCGGCAGGCCUACCACAUGCAAGUCGAACGAGUGGCGGACGGGUGAGUAAUGUCUGGGAACCUGCCUGAUGGAGGGGGCACACUGCUAGAAACGAUAGAUAAUACCGCUAACAAUCGGAUGUGCCCAGAUGGGAUUAGCUAACAGGUGGGGGAACGGCUCACCUAGGCGACGAUCCCUAGCUGGUCUGAGAGGAUGAACAGCCACACUGGGACUGAGACACGGGCCAGACUCCUACGGGAGGCAGCAGUGGGGAAUAUUGCACAAUGGGCGCAAGCCUGAUGCAGCCAUGCCGCGUGUAUGAAGAAGGCCUUCGGGUUGGAAAGUACUUUCAGCGGGGAGGCGUUACCCGCAGAAGAAGCACCGGCUAACUCCGUGCCAGCAGCCGCGGUAAUAC
rnacentral:rRNA from 1 species